AAGAAAGGAGGAUAUCAGAUAUCUGAGAAACCAAGUUCAGCUUUAGGUCUUGGUUAUGGUGGCAACCCCAAAGUAUGUGAGGGAAAGCCCUACUGUUAUGCAAGAACCGAAUAAACAAUUUUUCCCAUAAAUGGCUCUAUUUGGCAACGUCACAGAAUAUUUUAAUUGGCUGAAUGAGAGAAAAAUAUGAGCCCCGAGACAUUAUCUAAUAGUAGUAAAAGUAGAUCAAAGCACACUGCUCUUGAGGGAGUUCAUCUGAGGUCAUGCUAACCGGCGCCUCAGUCUCCAGCUCAUAACUUAAGCAUCAAAGCUGUGUUUGUGCGAGAGAGAAAGUGUGUGAGUGCAUGACUAUUUGAGGCCAAGAAUACAAGACCCGUCUCUCCAAGGUGCCAUCACUCUGCUCCUGUCAGUCUCAGCACUCUGACGUUCUAGUGCUGCACCCUACGCUCCCCUCAUAGUCAGUGACCUCUGACCCCGCCCCUCUGGCCCUUCCAGGCCCAUCAGAUGGAUAUGCGCCCUGCAGGGAUCAGAGAACCUGGGCUACAUGGACAAGCUAUUCAUGACUGUUUGUAGGAAUUCCUCUGGUGUAGCUGUUCUCUGCACAUUGAGUGAAAAAGAGGAAUAUCAUGGCUGACUUGCACUUUCAUCACGGAGUCAGAGGGGAAAGCGGGAGGAAGGAAAGAAUGAUUUGUAUGCAAUUUAAACCUCAUAUACCCCAAUUUAGUGAUGGCAGAAAUGGAUUCAAGAGUACUCUAUGGACCAUGUUUAGUGGUCCUGCGAACUCCAAGAGCCAAAUCCAGGGUCACUGGUAGUGUUCUUGGCCAGCUAGGCCAGAGCUGGAAAGAUGGAGAGCUCAGACCUGGAGUCAGGCCAACCAGGCAGGGAGAGGCUAGCAAAGCACGCUGCCAGGAACUGAGGGCUGUGAUGGCACCACUGACUGUUCUGGAUAUCUCCCUCCCACCAAAGCACUUAACAUGCAGUAUAAGCCGACACACAAACAAACAAACAAACAGAUACACACACCGUUCACAUAAACACGCAGACGCCAGGGGAUGCUUGGAAAGCUGAAGAACACAGGCAGGAGGAGAGCAUCACUCAGAGACCCAUUAACCCUUGGCUCCAAACCAGAGCAGUGAGCAGGCGUCCUUUAAGUACAUGUUAAACAUAGAUAGUCUAUGCGUGUGUGCACUAGUGAUUUAUAUACUUUUGUGUCUGUGUGCAUGUACAUAUGUCCAUAAAAAGACCGAGUCACUUUCAGUGAAGACUCGGGGGCAGCUUCCAGGAGAUGAAAACGAUUGGUUAUUCUCUGUGUUUAUGAGUGAAGGUCACAGAAAAGUACCCGUCGCCAUUUAACCCCUCAGCUAGUCGCAAGUUGUCUGUUUUGGUGAGAGAAAGUGCUCUGAGGACUACUUCCUCGUGCGGAGAAGUGUAUCCCCAGGAGACCAGCUCCAGACUAAACACUCUGCUCAUUCAGCUGCUCCCCUUCACCCCACCGACAAGAGACGGAUGCUUGACAAGCGCUCCCAACAGAAAACCUCACUUUUUCCACCAAUUAUAGAAAGCGAUGCAGAGUAGGGGGGGAGGAGGCAAAACUUCAUAAUAUUAUACACACUGGCAUUUGGCGAAGCACAUUGAGCAACCUCUGUCAGAAAGAGAUGGGCUAAUUUCAGGGCGACCUGUGCCAACACAAACAACUGUUCUGGCUAGCUUUCAUUGUCAGCACUUGAGGUUUGAGGCGAAUUUUUCAACGCUCCGCAGCCAAUUUCUCUUUCCCCUAUUUUUCCCCCCAUAUGAUUUGUCCUUGUCCAAGAUCCCAGUUAGUCUUUCAUCGCCUAAGCAGUCAGAGCUUAAAAGUGUUCUUGUAGAGAACAAACUCAGACCCAGAUGCUCAUCUACACACACAAACAAAAAUAGAACUUAAAAUUUUCAGUUCGAGCGUGUGUGUGCGCAGAAACUGGCUUAUUUUAACUAUAAUGCAGGCUUGACUUCAUUGGUGCUGCGCAUUUUAAUGCAUCCGAGUGCCUCCAUUCGGGUUAUGUCCAUCAGCAGGCGCAGCGUCGGCAAGAGGAGGCGGGAGUUAAAACAGCUACCGCUUCAGUCUCUGGCUGCUGUGUGCUGGGAUUCAUAUCACAGCCAUGUCAACGUAAACAUCAUAUGUUUCUGUUUGUGUCUCCAAAGCAGUAUUUACUUCUACUUUGAUUUUGUUUAUUAGAGACUUUUACUGUUCAACAUAAAAGCAAGGAGCCAUGGCAGGACAUUUGGAGUACAGACUGUAAUGUUACAUUCAUAGUCGUCUCAUAAUUCUCACGGCUCACGCAUGGCUCUGGGUAUGUGCCAGUCAACGAGAUGGACAGCACUAUACUGCCAUUAUAGAAGCCUCACACAGGAGGGGUCCAAUCCUCUGUGGCAAAUCACACGCACCUAUGCACAUCAGGGGAGGAGCGUUUGGAUAUGUAUGUGUGUGUGAAGGGGGGGUAGAUGUAGAGAUGGAAGCUGAAUGGGCACUUUUGGAGGCCCCUGUUGCCUGAACAUGCAGCCUUUACUCUGCUCCAGUAUUGAGGCAGCUGUCUUUAAUAUAAGAGCUCAGCUCAGCCCAUAUUUAUUCAGGUACAGCUGACAGAGAGGGAGAGACAGUGAAAGAGGCGUGGCCCUUCUUUUUCCUGGCAGCCAUGCAGCACUCCUGCGGUUUUUUGGGGGCAAAGGGACAAGGCAAAAAAGACAGACACUGAGACAGAGGGAGAAAGAGAGCGGUGUAGAAGAAAACAGAGUUGAAAUAAAAAAGCAUGGCUCCACUAAGUCCUGUGUUGACUGGACAUCCUGCGCAAGAGACCGGCCCCAGAGGCCCUGGGGCCACCAGGGAGGGGGUGUGAGCUCAACUCUCUGGUCUCACUUGAUGGCUGCGUCCAAGACAAAUCACCAGUGGUGCUGCUGUCACCAUGGGCCUUGACCAAGACAAACAGCCGUGUUUUAAAAUAAGUACCUGCCCCCUCACAACCCCUCACUCAGGCACAUCCAUAUCUCCUCACACAUUCAAGCAUAUUCCCUUCACAGGUCAUAGGACUGGAGCUGGAGUCCAACGCUCGACACAGGGGACUCACUUUUCACCCUCUCAACGCUGUCUGCGUUCUCUCUCCUCUGCACACACACUUGUGAAGUUCUACCACAUCACACACAACCUCCAUUGUGGCCAAAAUGCUGGGACUGCAAUAACAGGGAGCCCUUCCUCUCCAGCAUCGGUCCUCCUGGACCCCUGAACUGCUGACACCGGGCCCCCUCCUCCUCCUCCUCCUCCUCCUCUUCCUCUCUCCUCUGAGCUCUAGCAUGCGGCAAAAAUUGCUCUGCUGGUUUGGUGGAGAAACCUUACUGAAACAAUGACUGAGCAUGUUCUUAGUGGUCAACACAGCGUUGGCAACUCAACAACUAUUCCUGAUGGGAACCUGAUCAAGAAGGAACAAACAUAAUGCAGGGGAACUGUGGUGGAUUUGAUGAGGAAAUGUAAUUCCUGAUAACAGAGAGUGUACUUUGGAUCAAACUUGACUUUUUCCAUGAAAUCACCAAAAGACAAAUCAACCGACAAAGUAUAAAUGUAGAAGAGGAAGUUAAUGUUUAAUCAAAUUAAGUUUGGAAGGCUAGUGUAAGUGCAUAGAAGUGCUUUGUUCUCUGUGUUGAGCUGUGAUUGUUUGCUUUUUUUUGCACUGUUGUUCUAUGAAUUCAUGUAAAA